AGAACGAACGCUGGCGGCGCGUCUUAAGCAUGCAAGUCGAGCGUGAUUGAUUAGCUUGCUAAUCAUGAAAGCGGCGGACUGGUGAGUAACGCGUGGGUGACGUACCCUUCUGAUGGGGAUAGCUCCUAGAAAUAGGAGAUAAUACCGAAUACGCUUGUCAUUGUCAGAGGAUGACAAGGAAAGGUUCUUUUGAACCGCAGAAGGAGCGGCCCGCGUACUAUUAGCUAGUUGGUGAGGUAACGGCCCACCAAGGCGACGAUAGUUACCCGGCCCUGAGAGGGUGAACGGGCACAUUGGGACUGAGAUACGGCCCAGACUCCUACGGGAGGCAGCAGCUAAGAAUAUUCCGCAAUGCACGAAAGUGUGACGGAGCGACGCCGCGUGGACGAUGAAGGCCGGAAGGUUGUAAAGUCCUUUUAAUAUGAGGAAUAAGUAGGGUGAGAGAAACGCCUUAUGGUGACUGUAGUAUUAGAAUAAGGGGCGGCUAAUUACGUGCC
rnacentral:rRNA from 1 species